UGGGGAAUUUUGGACAAUGGGGGAAACCCUGAUCCAGCCAUCCCGCGUGUGCGAUGAAGGCCUUCGGGUUGUAAAGCACUUUUGGCAGGAAAGAAACGUCAUGGGUUAAUACCCCGUGAAACUGACGGUACCUGCAGAAUAAGCACCGGCUAACUACGUGCCAGCAGCCGCGGUAAUACGUAGGGUGCAAGCGUUAAUCGGAAUUACUGGGCGUAAAGCGUGCGCAGGCGGUUCGGAAAGAAAGAUGUGAAAUCCCAGAGCUCAACUUUGGAACUGCAUUUUUAACUACCGGGCUAGAGUGUGUCAGAGGGAGGUGGAAUUCCGCGUGUAGCAGUGAAAUGCGUGGAUAUGCGGAGGAACACCGAUGGCGAAGGCAGCCUCCUGGGAUAACACUGACGCUCAUGCACGAAGGCGUGGGGAGCAAACAGG
rnacentral:rRNA from 1 species